CGCUGGCGGCGUGCUUAACACAUGCAAGUCGAACGAUGAAGCCUAGCUUGCUAGGUGGAUUAGUGGCGAACGGGUGAGUAAUACGUGAGUGACCUACCUUGACUCUGGGAUAAGCCUGGGAAACUGGGUCUAAUACCGGAUACGACCAAUCUCCGCAUGGGGUGUUGGUGGAAAGCGUUAUGGAGUGGUUUUAGAUGGGCUCACGGCCUAUCAGCUUGUUGGUGAGGUAAUGGCUUACCAAGGCGACGACGGGUAGCCGGCCUGAGAGGGUGACCGGCCACACUGGGACUGAGACACGGCCCAGACUCCUACGGGAGGCAGCAGUGGGGAAUAUUGCACAAUGGGCGCAAGCCUGAUGCAGCGAACGCCGCGUGAGGGAUGACGGCCUUCGGGUUGUAAACCUCUGUUAGCAUCGAAGAAGCGAAAGUGACGGUAGGUGCAGAGAAAGCGCCGGCUAACUACGUGCCAGCAGCGGC
rnacentral:rRNA from 1 species